rnacentral:rRNA from 1 species
UACGUAGGGGGCAAGCGUUGUCCGGAUUUAUUGGGCGUAAAGAGCGUGUAGGCGGCUUCACAGGUCCGCUGUGAAAACUCGAGGCUCAACCUCGAGAUGUCGGUGGAAACCGUGUGGCUAGAGUCCGGAAGAGGAGAGUGGAAUUCCCGGUGUAGCGGUGAAAUGCGCAGAUAUCGGGAAGAACACCCGUGGCGAAGGCGGCUCUCUGGGCCGUAACUGACGCUGAGGAGCGAAAGCGUGGGGAGCGAACAGG